GACGAAGGGGGCUAGCGUUGUUCGGAAUUACUGGGCGUAAAGCGCGUGUAGGCGGUUGUCCAAGUUGGAUGUGAAAGCCUUGAGCUCAACUCAAGAAAUGCAUUCAGGACUGGGCGACUAGAGGACCGGAGAGGAUAGUGGAAUUCCCAGUGUAGUGGUGAAAUACGUAGAGAUUGGGAAGAACACCAGUGGCGAAGGCGGCUAUCUGGACGGUUUUCUGACGCUAAGACGCGAAAGCGUGGGGGAGCAAACAGG
rnacentral:rRNA from 1 species